AGUGAACGCUGGCGGUAGGCCUAACACAUGCAAGUCGAACGGCAGCACAGAGGAGCUUGCUCCUUGGGUGGCGAGUGGCGGACGGGUGAGGAAUACAUCGGAAUCUACUCUGUCGUGGGGGAUAACGUAGGGAAACUUACGCUAAUACCGCAUACGACCUACGGGUGAAAGCAGGGGAUCUUCGGACCUUGCGCGAUUGAAUGAGCCGAUGUCGGAUUAGCUAGUUGGCGGGGUAAAGGCCCACCAAGGCGACGAUCCGUAGCUGGUCUGAGAGGAUGAUCAGCCACACUGGAACUGAGACACGGUCCAGACUCCUACGGGAGGCAGCAGUGGGGAAUAUUGGACAAUGGGCGCAAGCCUGAUCCAGCCAUACCGCGUGGGUGAAGAAGGCCUUCGGGUUGUAAAGCCCUUUUGUUGGGAAAGAAAUCCAUCUGGUUAAUACCCGGGUGGGAUGACGGUACCCAAAGAAUAAGUACCGGCUAACUACGUGCCAGCAGCCGCAGUAA
rnacentral:rRNA from 1 species